rnacentral:rRNA from 1 species
UACGGAGGGUGCGAGCGUUGUCCGGAAUCACUGGGCGUAAAGGGCGCGUAGGUGGUCUGCUAAGCGUGCGGUGAAAGCCCGGGGCUCAACCCCGGGUCUGCCGUGCGAACUGGUGGACUAGAGCACUGUAGAGGCAGGUGGAAUUCCGGGUGUAGCGGUGGAAUGCGUAGAGAUCCGGAAGAACACCGGUGGCGAAGGCGGCCUGCUGGGCAGUUGCUGACACUGAGGCGCGACAGCGUGGGGAGCAAACAGG